GAAAUACUCCCUCCGUCCGGAAUUACUUGUCGUGAAAAUGGAUGUAUCUAGAACUAAAAUACGUCUAGAUACAUCCAUUUCUGCGACAAGUAAUUCCGAACGGAGGGAGUGCGAC
rfam:Triticum aestivum genome assembly, contig: Triticum_aestivum_CS42_TGACv1_scaffold_251142_3DL